AUAGUAGCAGCCUCUAAGUCGCUCUGGAUAAGAGCGUCUGCUAAAUGACUUAAA
rfam:Salmo salar isolate Sally breed double haploid chromosome ssa09, whole genome shotgun sequence.